rnacentral:rRNA from 1 species
UGGGGAAUUUUGGACAAUGGGGCAACCCUGAUCCAGCAAUGCCGCGUGUGUGAAGAAGGCCUUCGGGUUGUAAAGCACUUUUGUCCGGAAAGAAAACGCCGUGGUUAAUACCCGUGGCGGAUGACGGUACCGGAAGAAUAAGCACCGGCUAACUACGUGCCAGCAGCCGCGGUAAUACGUAGGGUGCAAGCGUUAAUCGGAAUUACUGGGCGUAAAGCGUGCGCAGGCGGUCCGCUAAGACAGAUGUGAAAUCCCCGGGCUUAACCUGGGAACUGCAUUUGUGACUGGCGGGCUAGAGUAUGGCAGAGGGGGGUAGAAUUCCACGUGUAGCAGUGAAAUGCGUAGAGAUGUGGAGGAAUACCGAUGGCGAAGGCAGCCCCCUGGGCCAAUACUGACGCUCAUGCACGAAAGCGUGGGGGAGCAAACAGGAUUAGAUACCCUGGUAGUCCACGCCCUAAACGAUGUCAACUAGUUGUCGGUCUUCAUUGACUUGGUACGAGCUAACGCGUGAAGUUGACCGCCUGGGGAGUACGGUCGCAAGAUUAAAAACUCAAAGG